AGCAGCCGCGGUAAUUCCGGCUCCAAUAGCGUAUAUUAAAGUUGUUGCAGUUAAAAAGCUCGUAGUUGAAUUUCGGGGUUAGUAGGUUGGUCAUGCCUCCGGUAUGUACUGAUCUCACUGAUUCCUCCUUCCUUAUGAACCGUAAUGCCAUUAAUUUGGUGUUGCGGGGUAUUUGGACUGUUACUUUGAAAAAUUAGAGUGUUUAAAGCAGGCUAACGCUUGAAUACAUUAGCAUGGAAUAAUGAAAUAGGACGUUCGAUCUUAUUUUGUUGGUUUCUAGGAUUGACGUAAUGAUUAAUAGGGAUAGUUGGGGGCAUUAGUAUUCAAUUGUCAGAGGUGGAAUUCUUGGAUUUAUUGAAGACUAACUACUGCGAAAGCAUUUGCCAAGGAUGUUUUCAUUAAUCAAGAACGAAAGUUAGGGGAUCGAAGACGAUCAGAUACCGUCGUAGUCUUAACCAUAAACUAUGCCGACUAGGGAUCGGAUGAUGUUAAUUUUUAAUGACUCAUUCGGCGCCUUACG
rnacentral:rRNA from 1 species